CGACUGUCCCUUGCAUGCGAUGGACCGGAGGUGCGAUGCAGGUCCAACCCCUUCUCACGGACUUGCCUGGCCAAGCAGAAGGCUCGGGAAUUCAUGUUAAAUCAGCCUGGGAAUCCACCUCUUCGCCCAAGGAAAAGUUUGGAGGUGCUGAGCUGACCCUGUACUUCCGGGAUGGAUUUGUCUGAAGCACAAGAGCUGUCUCAAGAACAGGCAAAGCUCUGCUCAACAGAGAAGAGAGAAACCCGUCUCCCUGACACAGUGGUUGCCAGGAUUUCUGGUCAGGCUGGACGCCAUGUGAAGAGCAAAGGGAAGGAUGCCUGGCUGGGGUUGGAAGAAAGAAAAUACGUCUCA